AGUAUAGUUGUUGUGAAGUGCCACAGGGAAGAAUUGGUACCAUGGAUAACUUGAGAAAGAGAGCAAAGCUCAUUAUUUAAUCUGGUUUGAGUAUGAAUCCCCUAACCAUCUUUUUCUAUGGUUUUGGAGGUUAGGAGGUACUGGAAUUCUUUCUAGGUUUCCUUAAUUUAUCUUACUUCACUUUUGGGUUUGGUGGAGAUUGACUAAAGGCUUGGUUGGAAAUUGGAGCAUUGAUCUACAGUUUUAGGCAUAGACCGCUCAGUGGCUGAACACGACUCUAGGGGCCCUUUUUAUUAACGUGUGGCUUGGAUGAGAAACUAACUGGGAGAAAAUGGUAUUGACUUUUGGAAGAUUCUCUGCCCAGGAGCCAGGAUUGCUAAAGGGUCAUAAGCAGAUUUUCUCUGGACAAAAGUAUGCCACUGAUUUCCAAAAGGAGAGGAAUGCUACCAAGAAGAACACAUCUUCACCAGGAGUAACUAGAGAUGUUCUGUUUGUUAGCCACCUGCAACAUGAAGAGUUCGUUAGUAUUUCUGGGCCAGGAAUCUGCCGGAAUAUGAAAAAUAAUUG